rnacentral:rRNA from 1 species
AAGGGUGGGGUAAUUUUUAAGUAGCGGUGAUAAACCUACCGAACUUAGAGAUAGCUGGUUUUUUAAGAAAAGAAUUUUAGUUCAGCCCUAAGUUUUUCAGUUAAGCAAAAAACUUACAUAAACUUAAGAGUUACUCAAAUAAGGCACAGCUUAUUUGAGACAGGAUACAACCUUGAAUAUAGGGUAAGACAAACUAAAUUUUACAAGUGGGCCUAAAAGCAGCCACCUUUAAAAAAGCGUCAAAGCUUAACACUAUUAAACUAUACAAUUUCCUCAACAACCUCAAACCCUUAUCCUCUAUUAAAAAACUCC